rnacentral:lncRNA from 1 species
UUUUUUCCCAGACAGUGGCAAUAUUAGACUCAGUUUUCAGUUCCUUGGUCAUGAUUUAAUAGUUGCUGCAUUCGCAAGCAAUUCUUUUUCCUGGACACUUUCCACAAUUUUUGACCUUGUUUAAGCCUGUUUAGUGUGUGAUUCGAAGUAUGCACUUGGCGUAUUUGUAGCGAAAGUUCAAAUUAGCUUGGAUAAUCCCUGCAACCCGAAGCUUGAUAUUGAAACUUGAAUGUUGAGACCUAUCUAUUUGUCAAGAUCUGUAAGUUAAUGAAAGUGGUGAUGAAAUCUAGUGAAUUAUGAAUGGACUUUGGUUCAUUAUUUGUUUUGCAUAGUGCAGCUGCUGCCUCAAUUUUACUUAACCAAUGCUUUCGUGAUGGUAGGUUUGAUGAUUUAAAAGGUCAUAGCUUAUACCAACUUGGAAAUCCUGUUGACCUGACUUGUUACUGCUGAGGAUUGAUAUGAAGGGUUGUAAAUGGAGAUAAUCUCAAUAACAGAGUUCCAGCCGGAGUUAUCUUCCACUGGUGAGUAUAUAUGGUUGAGCUACAGUAAUGUAUUUGUUAAGCUGGACUGAAAAUGCUGUAAUGGAACUUUGAUUUAAAGAAUUGUUUCUGGACUUGGUGCUGACAUUAUACUCAAUAUAAGCAACAUUUCUAGUGCAGAACUCCAAGAUGAAUUCUUCGGACUCAUACUACAGGUGGCGUCAAUCAUAACUUAUGAACACCUAAAAAACACUUUUUAAUUGGGGAAUCAAUUAAAUCUCUGAUUGGUUCUACAAUGUGUUGUUGCUGCAGGGGAAGAAAAACUUUGGUUUUGUUAUGUUUGUGGCCAUAUGUGGCAUUACGCAACUAAUGUCAUCCAUUCAGUUGACACCCGAAAGCAAAGAGGGAAUUAUUUAGAUUAGCAGUUUUUCUGUUCAGCUGCAUCUAGAUGGGGGGAAAACAAUCAAGAAACCUUUCAGGUUAACGGAGAUGCUCGAAAUCUGGAAGCUUGGAAACAGGUGGUUAGAUCUGUUUUUGUUCGAAUGAGUAUAUCAACGAGGCUGCCAUGCAGAUUGUAAUAAUGAAGCAAAUGGGGGCAUCAAGAUUUGGG